rnacentral:rRNA from 1 species
GGUAGUCUAUACGAGCGCACCUAUCUUAGUUGCCAGCGGUUCGGCCGGGGACUCUAAGAAAACUGCCAGUGCAAGCUGCGAGGAAGGUGGGGAUGACGUCAAAUCAUCACGGCCCUUACGACCUGGGCCACACACGUGCUACAAUGGUAGGUACAAAGAGCAGCCACUUGGCGACAAGGAGCUAAUCUCAAAAACCUAUCUCAGUUCGGAUUGGAGUCUGAAACUCGACUCUAUGAAGCUGGAAUCGCUAGUAAUCGCGCAUCAGCCAUGGCGCGGUGUAUACGUUCCCGGGCCUUGUACACACCGCCCGUCAAGCCAUGGAAGCUGGGAGUACCUGAAGUCGGUAACCAUAUAGGAGCUGCCUAGGGUAAAACUAGUAACUGGGGCUAAGUCGUAACAAGGUAGCCGUACCGGAAGGUGUGGCUGGAACACCUCCUUUCU